rnacentral:rRNA from 1 species
CUAUGCGCCUUGCCAGCCCGCUCAGGUGUGCCAGCAGCCGCGGUAAUACGUAGGGGCAAGCGUUAUCCGGAUUUACUGGGUGUAAAGGGAGCGUAGACGGCAGUGCAAGUCUGGAGUGAAAGGCGGGGGCUCAACCCCCGGACUGCUCUGGAAACUGUACAGCUGGAGUGCAGGAGAGGUAAGUGGAAUUCCUAGUGUAGCGGUGAAAUGCGUAGAUAUUAGGAGGAACACCAGCGGCGAAGGCGGCUUACUGGACCGUGACUGACGUUGAGGCUCGAAAGCGUGGGGAGCAAACAGG